UAUGUUUGGUUUUGGUCGAUUCUGUCAAGAUUCAUUUCUACAUUUUAUAUGUUCUAUAGUCUCACAAGUAUUGUUUUUGGUGUUGAUAGGAUCUAAGGAGCAAAGACUAUUAAUUAUCAUAAACAAGAUUUCUAAUUGGUGAAAGCUUUUUAUAUAUAGCAGACUGUGAUGAUGUGUAGAGGCAAAGGAUCCUUCAGAGUUCAUCACUCAUCGAGCCAAAGAUUUUGUGUCAAGCAUGAAGGACAUUGAAACCCGGUUUAUGUGUAUAGUUGAAGCAGGAAAUAAGGUUUCUAGAAUGCUUGAAACCAAGAAGAUCUUGCUUGACAUAUGUGCUAAAAUACCAGGAUUCUAGGUUCUCCAGUUAAGCUACCUACUGCCCGAUUGUGUCAGCACUUCAAGUGUGCUGCAAUUGUGAUGUUAUUCUCAACCAUGGUAACCAGGGUAUUCUCAUUAUUCUCUUCGCAAUCAUAAUGUUUUCCUGAAGUACUAAUUUUAAAUGUCUUUGUAGAAACUGUGACCCUCCAUAGUUAAGGGAUUGCACUUUCUUAAAUAUUUGAUGAGGAAGUUGUUGGACUUUGAUGAACCUAGAACUCUUGCACCAACUUGUCUUUUUGUUGGAGGUACAAAAUACAUGGUGAUCCAAGGUGAACCUAGAGUGGUCAUCCGAGGAAAGAAGAAUAUUUUGCCAGUGAUGACGUGUGUUUAGAGGAUGGGAUCCUUGCAAUUGUCAAACAAGGCAA